UACAGAGGUCUCAAGCGUUGUUCGGAUUCAUUGGGCGUAAAGGGUGUGUAGGUGGCGCCGUAAGUCGGGUGUGAAAUCUCGGAGCUUAACUUCGAAACUGCAUUCGAUACUGCGGUGCUUGAGGACUGGAGAGGAGACUGGAAUUUACGGUGUAGCAGUGAAAUGCGUAGAUAUCGUAAGGAAGACCAGUGGCGAAGGCGGGUCUCUGGACAGUUCCUGACGCUGAGGCACGAAGGUCAGGGGAGCAAACGGG
rnacentral:rRNA from 1 species